rnacentral:rRNA from 1 species
AAGGGCUUAUGACCAGACUUUGGCCUUGCGAAUCAUCCGGUGUUCUCACCGGUGCACUUCGCUUGGUUGAGGCCAGCAUCGAUUUUCGUAGAGGGUUAAAGACUUUAGGAAUGUGACUCCCCCGGGAGUGUUAUAGCCUAUUGUGUAAUACCUUUAUGGGGAUCGAGGUUCGCGCUUCGGCAAGGAUGCUGGCAUAAUGGUCAUCAGC